GCGGACAUGGCGGAAUUGGCAGACGCGCUGGAUUUAGGAUCCAGUGGUUAACAGCCAUGCAGGUUCGAUUCCUGUUGUCCGCACCA
rnacentral:tRNA from 1 species